GAUGAACGCUGGCGGCGUGCCUAAUACAUGCAAGUCGAGCGAACAGACGAGGAGCUUGCUCCUCUGACGUUAGCGGCGGACGGGUGAGUAACACGUGGAUAACCUACCUAUAAGACUGGGAAAACUUCGGGAAACCGGAGCUAAUACCGGAUAAUAUAUUGAACCGCAUGGUUCAAUAGUGAAAGACGGUUUUGCUGUCACUUCUAGAUGGAUCCGCGCCGCAUUAGCUAGUUGGUAAGGUAACGGCUUACCAAGGCAACGAUGCGUAGCCGACCUGAGAGGGGGAUCGGCCACCCUGGAACUGAGACACGGUCCAGACUCCUACGGGAGGCAGCAGUAGGGAAUCUGCCGCAAUGGGCGAAAGCCUGACGGAGCAACGCCGCGUGAGUGAUGAAGGUCUUCGGAUCGUAAAACUCUGUUAUUAGGGAAGAACAAAUGUGUAAGUAACUAUGCACGUCUUGACGGUACCUAAUCAGAAAGCCACGGCUAACUACGUG
rnacentral:rRNA from 1 species